rnacentral:tRNA from 1 species
AAAGGCUUUAGCUUAAUGAAAGUGUUUGAGUUGCAUUCAGAAGAUAUGGGGUAGUAAUCCAUAAGUCUUA